AUUGAACGCUGGCGGCAGGCCUAACACAUGCAAGUCGGACGGUAACAGGAAACAGCUUGCUGUUUCGCUGACGAGUGGCGGACGGGUGAGUAAUGUCUGGGAAACUGCCUGAUGGAGGGGGAUAACUACUGGAAACGGUAGCUAAUACCGCAUAACGUCGCAAGACCAAAGAGGGGGACCUUCGGGCCUCUUGCCAUCGGAUGUGCCCAGAUGGGAUUAGCUAGUAGGUGGGGUAACGGCUCACCUAGGCGACGAUCCCUAGCUGGUCUGAGAGGAUGACCAGCCACACUGGAACUGAGACACGGUCCAGACUCCUACGGGAGGCAGCAGUGGGGAAUAUUGCACAAUGGGCGCAAGCCUGAUGCAGCCAUGCCGCGUGUAUGAAGAAGGCCUUCGGGUUGUAAAGUACUUUCAGCGGGGAGGAAGGGAGUAAAGUUAAUACCUUUGCUCAUUGACGUUACCCGCAGAAGAAGCACCGGCUAACUCCGUG
rnacentral:rRNA from 1 species